CCAAACACAAAACAACUACUGUGAAUUGGCAUCUGUCUUGUUAGACGAAAGCUGGUUUGGCUCCGAACAUGGCAAAGAUUCCAAGUGAUCCCCCAUGUCUGUCAGUGACUGAAGCCUGUGAGUAUGUGAAGUUACGUAGGAGAAGAGGGAGGUCACAGAGACGGAUGAGGACAAAGGAAGGAAUGCCUUCGGCAGCUGCAGUGGAAGACAAGGCCAAAGCCAGCACAGCUACGAGAAAGGGCCACCUUACCACCCUCUUUCUCGCGCACACAACAUAAGACAGGGAAGAGGAGAGGCGGAGAAAGGAGAGAGCGAGAGUGCCCUUCUUCUGCUGCUGCUGCUGCGGUUGCUGGUGGUGGUAUGGCGAAGCCCAGGAAGAAAGCCUUCCUACCCUUCAUCUUACAAAAUGACGAGACUACCCCUAAGUCUGGUGUCGAUGGCCCCGAUCAUACGAGGGCUUUUUCGUCAAUGUAGCAGGCCCCUUACCCCUCGACCCCGAAGGAAGGCAGACAGGACGGAGCCAGGCAACAAGAAGCAGGGCGGGCGAGUACGAAGAGGAGGGGGGGAACCGUCUCUUCUUCGUAUGUGCGAUAGGGUCGGCAUGCGGAUGAUCCACGGCGGGUCGCUCAUGAUCCCAACUAUUUGUUGUGGUCGGAGGGAUCGUAGCUUUUGAGACAAAUAUUCUCCCCUGCUGGAACUUGAUGUUUAGUAUAAUGGACAAGAAUGCAUCCUUAUGGCAGAGAAGUUUGCAUGCCAUUUGUGACUCUCAUUCUUGCUUUAGAGGUUUUCUUUUUUGCUGGUUGAGAUAACUUUUCCACAUUGGUGAUUCAUUUCACAUCAAGUCAAGGAAUUUGAUCUUUCUUUCAAAUGUGUCAGCUGUGAUGAACCUAUCAAUUCAAGAAACUAUUAUUGUGUUAAAGAAAUUUGAUUUAAGUAGGUGAGAGACUGAUCAUAGUGUUCAUGUAUAUAUUUUAGUCACAUAUCAUUUCUGCAA